CAAACAUGGUCUUUUGUUUAUAUAAAAGAUCUAACCUGCCCUAUGAUUAAUUUUAAAUGGCUGCAGUAUUUUGACUGUACAAAGGUAGCAUAAUCAUUUGUCUCUUGAUUGGAGGCUGGUAUGAAUGGUUUAAUGAAAAAUAUACUUUCUUUAUUUUAUAUAAAAAAAUUAAUUUUUUAGUUAAAAAGCUAAGAUGUUUUUAUAGGACGAGAAGACCCUAUAGAACUUUACUGUUAUAUUAUAUAUAUUUUAUAUAUUUUUAUAAAUAUAUAUUUUUAUAUCAGUUUUGUUGGGGUGAUGGAAAAAAAAUAAUAACUUUUUCUAAUUGUUACAUAUAUAUAUGUUUUUUUGAUCCUUUUUUAGGAAAAUAAGAUUAAGUUACCUUAGGGAUAACAGCGUUAUUUUUUCGGAGAAGUUCAUAUUAAUGAAAGAGUUUGCGACCUCGAUGUUGGAUUAAAAUAAGUUUCAGGGGUAUAAUAUUGUUAACUAAGUCUGUUCGACUUUUAAAUUUUUACAUGAUCAUU
rnacentral:rRNA from 1 species